UACGUAGGCGGCAAGCGUUAUCCGGAUUUACUGGGCGUAAAGCGUGCGUAGGCGUGCUGUAAAGUCGACGGUGAAAUCUCUGGGCUCAACCCAGGAAACGCUAUCGAUACUCACAGCAUUGAGAGUAAGAGAGGGCAUCAGAACUUUCAAAGUAGCAGUGAAAUGCGUUGAUAUUGAAAGGAAUACCAAAGGCGAAGGCAGGUGCCUGGAUUACUUCUGACGCUGAGGCACGAAAGCUAGGGGAGCGAAAGGG
rnacentral:rRNA from 1 species